rnacentral:lncRNA from 1 species
GCCGCAUAUAUCUCGGCUUCAUCAGCCGAUUUUUCACUCUCACUCGAUUGGUUCGGCUUUUCUUGAACCGACUAUUCUUCUAUCAAGAAUUUCUCCUUACCUUUGCUUUGAUUUUUAUAUCGGCUCCAUUGCAGCCGAUCGUCCUCACUUUCCUUCCGGAAUUGCUCAUAUUGGGCAACCCGAACACCUAGAUCAAAUAGGUUAGAAAAAUACUUAUCUUGAAAAUGGUCUUUUAUCUUAAAAUAUAGACCAUUUAACGCCAUUUUGGCGAACUCUGAUUCCGACAUCCUAACAAAGCAUCGACUUCUGGCCGUCUUGAAUCGGUUUAAAUAUUCUUCAAUCGAUUCGCC